UUGUGUGUGAUGACAAAGCAUUCUCAUAUGUUCGCAGUUGAGAGUUGAGUUGAAAAAAGAACGACUCGAUGAAUUUUUAUCGUAGCCUUCACUUAGAUGUCUGACACGAAAG
rnacentral:snoRNA from 1 species